rnacentral:tRNA from 1 species
GGAAGAGUGGCAGAGUGGCCGAAUGCACCGGUUUCGAAAACCGGCAAGGAGCAAUCCUUCGGGGGUUCAAAUCCCUCCUCUUCCG